AAUAGAGGGGGGAGCAUAGGCAAGCAGCGUUCGUUUCUCAGGCCUCCACUCUGAGCAUUUGAAGGAUGGGAACUUUUGUCCUGAUGACUGUGAGAUUGCGCAGAGAAAACAGGGUUAGAAAAGUUAAUUGAGAUGGCCAACAUCCAGGACCUGGACAGCAGCUGCAGACUCUAAAUUAAUCUUCACCAGCUGGUUGGUGACCAGGACAAGGCCCUACCACACUCAGGACACCUGCCUCUUCACUCCACACAGGAAGAUUGGCUCUAGUCAGCCGGCUGAUGUUUUGGAAGCUGUGUGGAGGAAGUGAACUUUGAACUCUGCACCCUCCUUCCCCAAGGUUUCAUCUCUUAUGCCCACUCAAGAUGUAUUUUUGGAGAGGGGUGAACAAGGAAGACCCUCCAGAAGCAAAGCCAGAAGUCAUGGAGGAUGGUGUCAAGGACAUUUCUCUAAAAGAGAAGCAAUGAAGUAGAAAAGUAAAAUUUUAAAUCCACCCUUAGCUUAUCCAAUUUCUCAUCAUGCCUGAACAUGAAUAUCACACAUGACACUUAGAAAACCUCUUGCAUCCUGAGAAAACUACACAAAAGAAGUGCAUCUGGUCUUUUCUUAAACUGCUCAAUAGUUUUGCUUAACACUAAACUCUAAAUAGAUUAAAUAUUGGGCCCUGUGAUAGGCAGCUUCUAACAUUGCUCUCUAUGGUCCCAUCUCCUGGGUUUCUCACUCCCUUUGUGUGACCUGCUCACCUUGAAUGUGGACUGGACCUAGUGAUUUACUUCUGUUUUUGUUUGAUACAUAUACUUACUAGAUUUUGUUUUUAACUUUAUUUUUGUUGUUGAUGUUUAUAGAUGUCCGCAUUUCUCCCCCUCCCCACCCUUUGCCCACCUCCACCUAGCCCUCACCCCCUUCCCUCUGGUCAUCACCACACUGUUGUCUGUGUCUAUGAGUUAUGAAUAUAGGUUCUUUGGCUGAUCCCUUCACCUUCUUUCAUCCACUUACUAGAUAUUAAAUGGUGAGAUUAAAUCAUGCGUUUAUCCUCUGCUUCUGAAAAUAGAACUGCUAACUGAGUAAGUCCCUGGAGGCUGAAAGGCUAAUACCUUGACAGGAAUUAAUUAGUCUUUCAUUCUUUAUUUUUUUUGUUUUGCUAAUCCUCACCAGAGGAUAAUUUUUACCAUUGAUUUUUUUUUUUUUUU